rnacentral:rRNA from 1 species
CCUACGGGUGGCAGCAGUAGGGAAUCUUCCACAAUGGGCGAAAGCCUGAUGGAGCAAAGCAGCGUGGGUGAAGAAGGUCUUCGGAUCGUAAAACCCUGUUGUUAGAGAAGAAAGUGCGUGAGAGUAACGGUUCACGUUUCGACGGUAUCUAACCAGAACGCCACGGCUAACUACGUGCCAGCAGCCGAGGUAAUACGUAGGAGGCAAGCGUUAUCCGGAUUUAUUGGGCGUAAAGGGAACGCAGGCGGUCUGUUAAGUCUGAUGUGAAAGUCUGCGGCUUAACCGUAGUAGUGAAUUGGAAACGGGGAGACUUGAGUGCAGAAGAGGAGAGUGGAACUCCAGGUGUAGCGGUGAAAUGCGUAGAUAUAUGGAAGAACACCAGUGGCGAAAGCGGCUCUCUGGUCUGUAACUGACGCUGAGGUUCGAAAGCGUGGGUAGCAAACAGGAUUAGAUACCCGAGUAGUC